UCCGCCCUCCAUCCACUUGCUCCAAGACGUCUUCCACGGCCGUCAGCUUCCACGAUCUGGGUUUGUGGCAGGCGUGAACUAUGCGAGGAGGGUCCGAGGGUGUGCGUCCGUUAUGUGAAUUCGACGGGUCGUCUUCAUCGCAGGCGGCCAUGGGGAGGACACAUGGGGCGGAGCAGAUGGGGUACGAGGACGCGUAGAAGGCAAACAGCUCAGACUUAAGCCCUUUGCCCCCGUCAGGACUCUGUCACAGGCUACUGAAUAUAUACAGUUCUUGCAAGAGAACGAACAUAAGUGUAUUUGGGUGAGGCACCAGAUACAACAUCUCACUUUUCGUUUUGGAAAUUAUCUUUAUUUAACUCCAAGAGGUCACCAGCUGAAGGUUGUGUUUGGCAAUGGAAUAGUAAUUUGGCUGCUGAGGUAUCAAGGUAAGGACAAAAAUAUUUCCCAUUUUUUUUAUUUCUAUGGUUGUCAUAGUCUAUUUUAAGCCCGUAUUAUUUUUGGUGAUUGCGAAAUGUAUUCAACUGCAUGAAGAAAUAGAAGAUAAAUCUUGUUUCAAACUUUGAGUGUAUACUGAAGUUACAUGAAGCCUUCGGCACUCCUUUUUAGUUAUUGCUGAUUUAGUUCAAGUACUAAAUCAACGACAACUAAUAUCGAACAGAGGGAGUAUAUUAUGACCUCCUCUUAACUUGCCGUUAGUAACAAACAUGAUAGUACCAAAAUUAGUUCUAGGAGGAUAGUACUAAAACUCUCGUGCCAUUGAAAAACUGUUGAGAAAUUUU